GGCCAAAGUAUUGGGGUUUCAGCUUCAUCAUCAGUCCUUCCAAUGAAUAUUCAGGACUGAUUUCCUUUAGGUUUGACUGGUUGGAUCUCCUUGCAGUCCAAGGGACUCUCAAGAGUCUUCUCCAACACCAAAGCUCAAAAGCAUCAAUCUUCAGCGCUCAGCUUUCUUUAUAGUCCAACUCUCACAUCCAUACAUGACUAUUGGGAAAACCAUAGCUUUGACUAGACAGACCUUACUUGUCACUAAACUAUCAGCUCGGGUUGUUUGUACUUUUGAGAUUUAACUAAAUUUGCCACAAAUCCGUUCUCCCAUGCCCUGUGUUAAGUGCACAGCUUUCUUCAACAUUUCUGUAAGUGACCAGGAGCCCGAGUUCUCAUGGUCACCAUGGUUCUGAGCUUCUGCCCCUUCUCUAGUCGUAUCUCCAGUCUGGGGCUCAGCCCUUCCCUCAUAUUCUUCCCUAUAAUGGCUUAUCACAGGAUAUUGGUUAUAGCUCCCUGUCCUGUAGAAUAGGACCUUGUUGUUGAUAGUGUGCAUCUGCUGAUCCCAAAUUCCCAAUCGUUCCCUCUCCCACCUCUUCUCUCCCUUGCAGCCACAAGUCUGUUCUCUGUCUUUGAGUCUUGCUUCUGUUUCUUAGAUAUGUUCACUUGUGUUGUAUUUUAGAUUCCACAUGUAAAUGAUAUCAUAUGGUAUUUGUCUUUCUCUUUCUGACUUACUUCACUUAGUAUGAUAAUCUCUAGGUUCAUCCAUAUUGUUGCAUAUGGCAUUAUUUUGAAGAACUGACUCAAAUUUGAAUAGAAUUGGUUCUUGGUUAGUUUCCAGCAGUAUUUGCUCCUCUGUCCAUGGGACUUCCCAGGCAAGAAUACCAGAGUGGGGUGCCAUUACCUACUCUAAAUUUUAGCUCUCAUUCAUGUUAAAAAGGAUAUUGAGAUUCAGAGAGGUUAAAGACAUGUCAAAAAGGCAGACUAGGUCAAAAGGAGAAAUGCACUUAGGGUCCCUUGAUUUCUAUCCAGCGCUUUUGUUUCGCCAUCUCCCUUAUGUUGCUAAGACUGUUUUAUUAGGAAGAAGUUAAAGCCAUAGAAGAUAUUUCUGAAUGGGAUGUAAUUAAGAACUUGGAAUAUUCUAUUUCUUUAAAAGCAAAGCAUGAGUUGGCUUUGUUCUCAGUGACUACUACUCAGAUCAUUUGUGGACUUCUCAUUAAUAUGUAUGCUGUAAUACCUGCUGGUGAGCCAUUUUUUGCUGAAUGGAUACCGGAAAACCUUCUGUCCCUGCUUACUUUGCUACUACUUUAUGUCUGUCCCUCACUCAGGCCACCAGCAUUCUUGCUCUGGUGUAUCCUUUUAGUCUUGCUCUUGCUCGCCUUAAUUUCCUUUGCCUAAAUAUUCCUACUCAUCCAUUAAGAUGUUUGCAGUGAUAAAUUCACUUUACCUUUAUAGCCUUCUCUCCCUUAGCAGAGGUUGUAGCUCUUUCCUUUUGCCUCCAUAAUGCUUAAGGAGAUUUCUGUUGUGACAAGGGAUGUAUUGCAUCGAUUACUUUAUUUAUCUCUCUUUCCUACCUCAUAACCCAACAAACAGAUUGUGAGUUUUGUGAGGGCCAGGACAGCACCUAAUGCACGUUUGCAAACAGGCAGCUAGGCCAGUGCCUAGCAUAUAGAACCUCUUCCAAGUGUGUGUUGAAUGGCAUAAACAAAUUCUCAUAUUUUCUUACAUCUCAAUUCAUCAUAUAAAAUCCAAGUAGGGGAUAGGACACAAUCCCCUUGCUUUCACAGAGCUUACUGUUUAUUGCUUUAGUUUUUCUUCUGUUUUACAGGUCAAAGUAGCA
ensembl:lncRNA